GAUGAACGCUGGCGGCGUGCCUAAUACAUGCAAGUCGAACGCUGGAGCUCUAGCUUGCUAGAUCGAAGGAGUGGCGAACGGGUGAGUAAUACAUAAGCAACCUACCCACGAAGACUGGGAUAAUCUCUGGAAACGGGGACUAAUACCGGAUAGGUAAUCGGAAGGCAUCUUCUGGUUAUUAAAGGUUAAAAACACUGGUGGAUGGGCUUAUGGCGCAUUAGUUAGUUGGUGAGGUAACGGCCCACCAAGACGAUGAUGCGUAGCCGGCCUGAGAGGGUGAACGGCCACAUUGGGACUGAGACACGGCCCAGACUCCUACGGGAGGCAGCAGUAGGGAAUUUUCGGCAAUGGGGGCAACCCUGACCGAGCAACGCCGCAUGAGUGAAGACGGCCUUCGGGUUGUAAAGCUCUGUUGUAAGGGAAGAACGGUAGAUAGAGAAUAUCUAAGUGACGGUACCUUACCAGAAAGCCACGGCUAACUACGUG
rnacentral:rRNA from 1 species